rnacentral:lncRNA from 1 species
AUGACCGCGGCCGCGCACAGGUGUAGAGCUAUGAGCGGAUGGGACAGGGGGAACACCCCGUGCCCCCACAGGAAAAAGUGCAGUAACGUAACAGCAGGGAUCAGUAAAACCUGCGCCGGCCGCUCUCAGCCUCCUCUGGCUCACGGGCUCCCAGUGGGGUGUCGGACCCCUGCUGAAGGGGUUGGGAUCCAUUGGGAUCUAUCACUUCAUUUUCCCUUUGUGCUUUUGCAGAGCUUGGGAAAUAACCCCAAGGAACCUGCAGAAGAUGCCGGAAGCCGCACGUACAGCUUUCCAAAAGAUUUAAACAAAAGAAAUAAAAAGGGGAGGAAAAAAAAAAAAAUAAGGACGUGUCCUUCUAAAUCUGUUAGCAAGUGGACAGCUUAUUUCGUCGAAGACUGUAUCUCGUACAAACGUAAUGGUCACUGCUUUAUCUGUGCUUUAGCAAGGCACAGCGAGAGGAAAAGCUUUCAGUGCUGCUACCUGAAUUUUCAGCAUUUUGACAGCUUACUUUUGUCAAGUAAUCCUAUGGCGUUGGACAGGGACCCACUUCACAGCCAGAGCAAAACGAGCGUGGCAGCCGCGCGAUGGUUGGCGAGGGGCCGAGCGCUGCUGGAUCCUCAUCGGGAAAAGGAAAAUGAAAAAACACGUAUAAAGCAAAAUAUCCAGCUCUUACCAUCAAUACAUUCUAGCAAAAAUUGUGGUUUCCAUCCGAUGGCACCGCCAGGCACUGGAGGAUCGGUGGCGGCUCUGGGCAUCAUGGCUGCCCCAUCACCAGCCCGGCCUCACCAGCGCGCGGUUGGCAAAUCUCAGCUGACUUUCUCUUUCUCCCCCCAGUUUUCCAGUCCUCCCCGGGGGUGUUUUUUUGUUUCCUUUUGUUUUCCAAACAAACGCACGGGUGAACUGGAAGCCAUGGCUGGAUCCAUCAGCCGCGAUCCUACAUUUUCAGGAGUUGUUUUCUCACUGCCGGAGGCCCAGCCCGACGGAUGCGCGUUGUUUGGAGAUCCCUGUCCCUCCGGUCUCCAAGGUCUGACAGGCGGUUUUCCCAAACUAGCUGAUAUCUGGCUACAGUAG